rnacentral:snoRNA from 2 species
CCCCUCUCAGGACCACACAUGGAGAGUUUCCAGUACUCUACCAGUCUCGGCUAUGGGAAGUAGAGUCAAGUAGAGGCAUACCCAUUCCAUUCCUAGCUUGGGCAAUGGCUAGUGAGUGGAAGGCAAUCUGCUACAAGU